UACGUAGGGUGCAGGCGUUAAUCGGAAUUACUGGGCGUAAAGCGUGCGCAGGCGGUGAUGCAAGACAGAUGUGAAAUCCCCGGGCUUAACCUGGGAACUGCAUUUGUGACUGCAUUGCUGGAGUGCGGCAGAGGGGGAUGGAAUUCCGCGUGUAGCAGUGAAAUGCGUAGAUAUGCGGAGGAACACCGAUGGCGAAGGCAAUCCCCUGGGCCUGCACUGACGCUCAUGCACGAAAGCGUGGGGAGCAAACAGG
rnacentral:rRNA from 1 species